GACGAACGCUGGCGGCGUGCUUAACACAUGCAAGUCGAACGCUGAAGCUCAGCUUUUGUUGGGUGGAUGAGUGGCGAACGGGUGAGUAACACGUGAGUAACCUGCCCCCUUCUUUGGGAUAACGCCCGGAAACGGGUGCUAAUACUGGAUAUUCACUGGUCUUCGCAUGGGGGUUGGUGGAAAGGGUUUUUCUGGUGGGGGAUGGGCUCGCGGCCUAUCAGCUUGUUGGUGGGGUGAUGGCCUACCAAGGCUUUGACGGGUAGCCGGCCUGAGAGGGUGACCGGUCACAUUGGGACUGAGAUACGGCCCAGACUCCUACGGGAGGCAGCAGUGGGGAAUAUUGCACAAUGGGUGCAAGCCUGAUGCAGCGACGCCGCGUGAGGGAUGGAGGCCUUCGGGUUGUGAACCUCUUUCGCUAAUGGUCAAGCCGCAACAAUGGUUGUGGUGAGGGUAGUGGGUAAAGAAGCGCCGGCUAACUACGUG
rnacentral:rRNA from 1 species